UACGUAGGUGGCAAGCGUUUGUCCGGAUUUACUGGGCGUAAAGAGCGCGUAGGCGGUCCGAUAAGUCGGCUGUGAAAGUCAGGGGCUCAACCCCUGAAAGCCGGCCGAUACUGUCGGACUAGAGUCCGGAAGAGGCAAGUGGAAUUCCCGGUGUAGCGGUGAAAUGCGUAGAUAUCUGGAGGAACACCGGUGCGAAGGCGGCGAUCCUGGACCAACAUUGACGC
rnacentral:rRNA from 1 species